UGGAGAGUAAGGAACACAAAGUAAGCACUCAGACCUGGCACAUAGUAGGUGCUUUAUUGGUGUUUCUUGAAUGAAUGGAUCUCUCAAGCCUCUGACAAAUCGAGUCAGCUCUUCUGCGGCGGGUGUCCAGGUGCCAUGUGGAGACCUGGAGCAACGGCCCACCUACCCACAAGCUGGCCCGUCCCUGAGCUAACAUCCGUGCCCAUCCUCCUCCACUUCACAUGUGGGACGCCUACUACAGCACGACCUGCCAAACAGUGUCGGCGCCCAGGAUCUGAGCCGGCGAACCCCGGGCUGCCGAAGCGGAAUGUGCACACUCAACCACUGAGCCACUGGGCCGGCCCCUACCUCUAAUAUUCUUGACAUACCAUGAUUCACAUGGGAAGGGAGGGAGUUGAGGAGAAAAGGUCGAUUUUGGAUUCCCACUGGGUUUAAAGGGAACAACAGCAGAGAAAGAAAUCAAAUUGUC
rnacentral:lncRNA from 1 species